GAUGAACGCUGGCGGCGUGCCUAAUACAUGCAAGUCGAGCGAACAGACGAGGAGCUUGCUCCUCUGACGUUAGCGGCGGACGGGUGAGUAACACGUGGAUAACCUACCUAUAAGACUGGGAAAACUUCGGGAAACCGGAGCUAAUACCGGAUAAUAUAUUGAACCGCAUGGUUCAAUAGUGAAAGACGGUUUUGCUGUAUCUUAUAGAUGGAUCCGCGCCGCAUUAGCUAGUUGGUAAGGUAACGGCUUACCAAGGCGACGAUGCGUAGCCGACCUGAGGGGGGGAUCGGCCGCACGGGAGCGGGGACACGGUCCAGGCGCCUGCGAGAGGCAGCAGUAGGGAAUCUUCCGCAAUGGGCGAAAGCCUGACGGAGCGACGCCGCGUGAGUGAUGAAGGUCUUCGGAUCGUAAAACUCUGUUAUUAGGGAAGAACAAAUGUGUAAGUAACUAUGCACGUCUUGACGGUACCUAAUCAGAAAGCCACGGCUAACUACGUG
rnacentral:rRNA from 1 species